rnacentral:rRNA from 1 species
AUUGAACGCUGGCGGCAUGCCUUACACAUGCAAGUCGAACGGCAGCAUGAUCUAGCUUGCUAGAUUGAUGGCGAGUGGCGAACGGGUGAGUAAUACAUCGGAACGUGCCCUGUAGUGGGGGAUAACUAGUCGAAAGAUUAGCUAAUACCGCAUACGACCUGAGGGUGAAAGUGGGGGACCGCAAGGCCUCAUGCUAUAGGAGCGGCCGAUGUCUGAUUAGCUAGUUGGUGAGGUAAAGGCUCACCAAGGCGACGAUCAGUAGCUAGUCUGAGAGGACGAUCAGCCACACUGGGACUGAGACAUGGCCCAGACUCCUACGGGAGGCAGCAGUGGGGAAUUUUGGACAAUGGGCGAAAGCCUGAUCCAGCAAUGCCGCGUGUGUGAAGAAGGCCUUCGGGUUGUAAAGCACUUUUGUCCGGAAAGAAAUGGCUCUGGUUAAUACCUGGGGUCGAUGACGGUACCGGAAGAAUAAGGACCGGCUAACUACGUG